AGGGGGGCUCUGCUAGAGCUUGUCCUUGCUCAGUAUGGAGGGACUGUGUCUGUGGCACCUAGGUCUGCGCUGCAGCUGCUGAGUGAAUUGCUGGUGGCUGUGUGCACAGAUCCAGAAUCAAACAGCUGGGGCUCUCAGCCCCGAGGAGCAUCGUCAGGCAAGAUCAAGAGAAGUUGCUUGCACCCAGCUCUGAAGCACAGCCAUGCUGAGAGGUGUGCGUGGUUCCUUGCAGUGUGUGGAGGCCAGGGCUGUGCUGGGGCCAUCCCGUGGAGCUUCAGGGCACAGUGCAAGAACUGCAGGACCUGAUCGUCCCAUGUGGAGAACAAUGAGGUUGAGGAGGACUUUCUUGUAACAGCAAGCACAUAAUGAACAUCAGUGCUGAAGCCUCAACAAGUCCUGCAAACAUGGGAGAGAAUAGUGUCAAAACUACUGAGCACCUGGAGACCUCCUGGCAUCCUCCCUCCUGCCUCUGGAACCCUUUCCUCAGAGAGCCACCAGCAGCCUCUCUCAGGAUGAGGACAGUGCGUGAGCUGGACCCCUGCUCUGAUCCGGUACAGCUAUCCAUCGGCCAUUUUGCAUUGUUAUGUAUUUGAGAGGGAAAGAAAGCGGCCAAAUGGAUUCAAAACAAGUGCUGGUGAAUGUGAAUCUACCCUAUGGUCUCCCACUAGCCUGCCCUGCAAUCUUAUAGAAAAUGAACCAAAGAUCCCACUUAAAGGCAAGGUGUGAAGGAGAUAGACAAAAAUGAGAUCUGGCUGUCUGGCCCGGAGCAGUGGUAUAUUCUGAUGUGACCUGGUGCGGGCGGGCGACUGCCCAGCGGCAGCUACUGUGUGACCGAGGCCGAGCGUUGCCUUUCCUCUGCCAGGACGUGAGGAGCCCACCCCAUGGUGGUGUGCGGUCCGUGGCUUGUACCCACAGCAGGACCGUGGCUGCUCCAUGCAACCCCACACGCCUCUGCCCUCCUGUGCAGCCCAGCCCCAAGCACCUGUGGUACCCACGGGGUCCCCGCACAGAGGGAGAGGUAGCCCCGCGAGCCUGUCCCAUGCACGUCUGCUGAGUCAAACCCCACCGUCUCCCACGUGCAAGGGUGAGUUUUCUUCCCAAAUCCACAGGGCACUUUAUGGUUACCUUGCACACAAACCCCACUAAAUAAAUAGAUGUUUAUGCCCCCUGUAUUAAAGUGAUUAGGUCCUUUUUUUUUGACAGUGUUGAGUCAAUAUAACCUGAGUAAUUGCAUGAGUAACUCAUGUUUCCCCUAAAGGGAAACUGUUCUCGUGUAAAUAUAUUUAUUAAUAAUUAAAGUGUUUUUGAGUUCUUAUGCACACAGCCCCUCUCCCCCACAGAGAUAUCUGAAAAGCUGUUGUCUUUAAACCUGCACAGGAGUCACACAGGAAGGGAUUUUGGCAGGGGGGUGAAUGCCUAUUGCAGGAGGCAUGUGGUUUAAUUUUGACCUUUCCUUUUUUCUUCCUGAACAAAAAAAUAAUGGUGAGAUCUGUGUAUGAGAGAUUUAAAAACCUCUACUACUCCAUUAGGAGCAUUACCCUGAAAUACUCACUAGAGCUUCUAACAGCCCAGAUAAUAGGGGUGGGAAAUCAUUUCUGGAAAAUAUUCCCCUCAAAGCAUCUUACCAGAGGAUUGUUUCCUAACAACAACAAUAAAAUCUUUGUCAAACAAUCCUUCAA